rnacentral:lncRNA from 1 species
AGACCCCAUGGCGACCUAAGGUCUAAAGUGGCAGCAGCAGAACAGGAAGGAAUAGUUUAUCCAAUACCCACUGAAAAUGAAAGACUGCACAGGGCUCAGUGACUGAAUAUUCGAGUUAAAAAGGAAGGAACCCAGAAUAACCCCAAGUUUGAAAGGAGUGGCUGGGAAAUUCAAAGAAUCACUGAUGGCGAUAGGCUGAGCAAAAGCUGUACUGGGAACAAGGAUGAGUUCAUUUUUUAACUACUCUUACUCUGACUAAAAUAGAAGUGGUAAAGGGCAGCGAGGUGGUGCAGAGAUAGAGCACCAAAACUGGAGACAAGAAGACCUGAAUUCAAAUUCGGCCUCAGACACUACCUAGCUGUGUGACCCUGGGCAAGUCACUUCACCCUGUUGGCCUCAGUCUCCUCAUCUGGAAAAUGAACUGGAGAAGCAAACGGCAACCCACUCCAGUAUCUCUGCCAAGAAAAUCCCAAAUGGGUUCACAACGUCAUGAGUCAACAACAACAACAAAUGAGACUAAACACCCCACUGUGCUUCCCUGGCAGAGGAAGAGGAAUUGCCCCUACUAUCUCCAAGCAAAAAAAAAAAAGGAGACCCCCCAAGGCCAGGAGCUCCCGGGCAGAGUGUUCCGAAUCUGCUCCGGCCCCUGGACAACGCGACCCAGAAGUUUCCCGGGCCGGAGCCGCUGGGGAGAGACGUCCGGCGUGCGAGAAGAGGCCGGGGUGCCGGCACAAAGAGGGGGCUUUAAAGCCCCCGCAGCUCGCGGAGUGCCUGGCCGGGUCCGGCCCCCUUGCCACAAGCGGCCGCCCCCAGACCCGGGGGACUCGGGAGCGCUUUCCAGGAACUCGGCGGGGGAGCUCCCCGGGGGCCCCCGACCUCUCGCCCUUCCCCC